GUGAGGAAUAUUGCGCAAUGGAGGCAACUCUGACGCAGCCAUGCCGCGUGCAGGAAGAAGGCGCUACGCGUUGUAAACUGCUUUUAACCGGGAAGAAACCCCAGGACGUGUCCUGGGUUGACGGUACCGGAGGAAUAAGCACCGGCUAACUUCGUGCCAGCAGCCGCGGUAAUACGAAGGGUGCAAGUGUUAUCCGGAUUCAUUGGGUUUAAAGGGUGCGUAGGCGGAGCGUUAAGUCAGUGGUGAAAUCCUGCAGCUUAACUGUAGACUUGCCAUUGAUACUGGCGCUCUUGAGUGCGCUUGAAGUGGGCGGAAUGUGCCGUGUAGGGGUGAAAUGCUUAGAUAUGGCACAGAACACCAAUUGCGAAGGCAGCUCACUAAGGCGAUACUGACGCUGAGGCACGAAAGCGUGGGGAUCGAACAGGAUUAGAAACCCGUGUAGUCC
rnacentral:rRNA from 1 species